AAAAUCGGAGACUCCGGUGUCGGCAUUUCCCCCCCGUAACUGGAAGAAACGGUCCUUCGAAACGUCCCGAUCCCUCCACACUUUGGUCUUCAAAAGGAAAGACUUUCCAUCAAGGGAACAGGUCAGAAGGCAGCAUGAAGACCCCCUAACCUCAUGGAGUCGUAGGGAACGUGCUCAAGUGGAAAAGACGAGCUCCACUUUGCCCACUACUCUCUGGUCUGCUGUUAGACAUCCAGUGCGUC